rnacentral:rRNA from 1 species
AUACGGAGGAUCCGAGCGUUAUCCGGAUUUAUUAGGUUUAAAGGGUGCGCAGGCGGAACUGUAAGUCACCGGUGAAAUCCUACAGCUUAACUGUAGAACUGCCGGUGAUACUGCGAUUCUUGAGUAUAGUUGAGGUAGGCGGAAUGUGUAGUGUAGCGGUGAAAUGCAUAGAUAUUACACAGAACACCGAUUGCGAAGGCAGCUUACUAAACUAUUACUGACGCUCAUGCACGAAAGCGUGGGGAGCGAACAGGAUUAGAAACCCUGGUAGUCC